GACGAACGCUGGCGGCGUGCCUAAUACAUGCAAGUAGAACGCACAGUUUAUACCGUAGCUUGCUACACCAUAGACUGUGAGUUGCGAACGGGUGAGUAACGCGUAGGUAACCUGCCUGGUAGCGGGGGAUAACUAUUGGAAGCGAUAGCUAAUACCGCAUAAUAUUAAUUAUUGCAUGAUAAUUAAUUGAAAGGUGCAAUUGCACCACUACCAGAUGGACCUGCGUUGUAUUAGCUAGUAGGUGAGGUAACGGCUCACCUAGGCGACGAUACAUAGCCGACCUGAGAGGGUGAUCGGCCACACUGGGACUGAGACACGGCCCAGACUCCUACGGGAGGCAGCAGUAGGGAAUCUUCGGCAAUGGACGAAAGUCUGACCGAGCAACGCCGCGUGAGUGAAGAAGGUUGUCGGAUCGUAAAGCUCUGUUGUAAGAGAAGAACGGGUGUGAGAGUGGAAAGUUCACACUGUGACGGUAUCUUACCAGAAAGGGACGGCUAACUACGUG
rnacentral:rRNA from 1 species